rnacentral:rRNA from 1 species
GUACACUCCUACGGGAGGCAGCAGUGGGGAAUUUUGGACAAUGGGCGAAAGCCUGAUCCAGCAAUGCCGCGUGAGUGAAGAAGGCCUUCGGGUUGUAAAGCUCUUUUGUCAGGGAAGAAACGGUGAGAGCUAAUAUCUCUUGCUAAUGACGGUACCUGAAGAAUAAGCACCGGCUAACUACGUGCCAGCAGCCGCGGUAAUACGUAGGGUGCAAGCGUUAAUCGGAAUUACUGGGCGUAAAGCGUGCGCAGGCGGUUUUGUAAGUCUGAUGUGAAAUCCCCGGGCUCAACCUGGGAAUUGCAUUGGGGACUUCAAGGCUAGAAUCUGGCAGAGGGGGGUAGAAUUCCACGUGUAGCAGUGAAAUGCGUAGAUAUGUGGAGGAACACCGAUGGCGAAGGCAGCCCCCUGGGUCAAGAUUGACGCUCAUGCACGAAAGCGUGGGGAGCAAACAGGAUUAGAAACCCGUGUAGUCCCA